rnacentral:RNase_P_RNA from 1 species
UGAGCCAGCUGGGUGAUCGCGGCGUACCGAACCACACAUGAAUGUGUUGGCGGGGUGUCGAGGAAAGUCCGGACUCCACAGAAAGCACGGUGGUUGCUAACGGCAACCCAGGGUGACCUGAGGGAAUAGUGCAACAGAAAGUAAACCGCCACCUUUUUCUAUGGUGGUAAGGGUGAAACGGUGUGGUAAGAGCGCACCAGCACCUGCGGUGACGCAGGUGGCUAUGUAAACCCCACCAGGAGCAAGGCAAGAGGACGCACCUUGAAAGGUGUGUCUGCCGCGGACGUUUGAGGUUGCUUUCUGCCGAUGUUCGCGGGGUAGCUGCUUGAGACCACCAGCAAUGGUGGCCCCAGAUGGAUGAUCGCCCCCUGAUUUAUUAGGGACAGAAUCCGGCUUAUAGGCUGGCUCAUUUC